UGCAGCUAAAUAAGCACGAAUGUAAAUGUGUUAUCAGUUAGAGAAAAAAAUAACCGCGGUUAUGGGAGAGGAUGCUGCAAUCUCGCAAUAAUUCGAUAGUAUUUAAUUAUAGCAUCAACGUCAGGAGCUGUAGAUACCGAUGUGAGCUAUUUCGUAGGGUGGGGGAGCUAACCCCUAAUCCUAUCCCCAAGGAACUACCCCUAGUUUUAUAUAGUAGCUCUUAGGGUCUAAGGCAGCCCCCUGGUUUUUUAUAGUAAGACGUAGAAGCUAUCCUCAAAGAGAACAGAGUUCGCAGAUGUCAUUAUUCUAAUAAUUGGUAUGGGAAGUUUCAAUCUUGCGAUAGUGUUUAUUUAUAGCAGCGCGUGCUCGCGAAUUUGAUAUGGUACUUUAUCCCAUUUCAUUUCCAUAUCGACACCUAUAUACGGGUUUUAUUGUGUAUGAAUGCGUAAAGUUCGAAAAUCUCCCAUAAAAAAGGUGGGAAAUAUGAUGGAAAUAGGAAAUGUGUAUAUCUUUACGGUGAAGUACGUUCUGUACUAAUUAUAAAUUCGACGUUCCGCAAUAUUUAAAAACGGCGUGCAUCCGCAAUCCGAUUUCAAUAAGUGCAUGUGUGUAUACACCUACUUAGACAGGCGCCUUCAUAUAUACCUCAGGGAUACGUGUCCUUGCGCGCAUAAUUUGCAGUUUAAUGAAAGCGUGACAUUUUUAUUGUAUUUAUUCGGCGAUCAUUUUAUAUGGCUGUUCGCAAAUAAUCGUCUACAUCAGAGUUGGACCCCGAUAUCAAACCUCAAUGGAGGAUUGCCUUCAUCAUCAUCAUGGUUAAACGGUCGCAAGCGCCGUAGCUUUAUUAUUAUAAUACCUAUAUAAUAUCUUAGAUUUAUUGAUGGGAAGUAGGUAGAGGAUAAUGCCGUUGCGAUAAAUAAGAUAACAUUGUGAAUAUUAUGUAUUACACCAACUUUAGCUAUAUCUAUAUUAAGAAAAGGCUUAUCAUAUAACCUUCAUAUCAAUUACAGCUAUUAAGAAAAGUUUCGUAUGGGGCUAAAUCAAUAUUUUUCUUGAAUCAAAGUUUAUGUGCCGAUAAUACCUGUGAUAAGGCAAGCUUCUUAAAUCAAAUUGAUACACUUGGGGCAGCACCUUCAUAAUACGUGUAAGCAUACGAUUUAAAACAGAUGUGUUAUUAAUUCCUGCAAUCAAAGUGCUAGGAUAUAAAUUUUUAUUACUCUAGUUAGAAUAGUGCUGUUAUAUAAACUCUCACAAAUUUUGUUAAUUUUUCUUGGAUUUAAGUUUAUAUGGUGAUAAUACCCGUGCUAAGGCAGGCUUCUUAAUCCCGAACAGGAUAGAGAUGGACGUUGGGUGGGAGGAGGUGCCUCAAGACUUGUUUACGGGAGAAAGGAAGCUAACUUUAUGUACUGUUAAUAUCUGUGAUACGACACGCUUCUUAAAUCAAAUUGAUACACUUGAGCAGUACCUUCAUAAUACGUGUAAGCGUACGAUUUAAAACAGAUGUGUUAUUAAUUCUAGCAAUCAAAGAUCGAUCUACCUUGUAUAGCUUUGGUUAAAUUAUUAUUGGUUAGAUACACCUCUUUCCAUGACCACCCAGGAGGCAAUAAAUUCGCACUAGAAAUAAUGCAAUUUAUUGGAGAUGUUUACGACCUCGUUAUAGGAUUCCCCAUUAGUUAUUUCUCUACACAGGGUGUAUGAAAAAAUAACUAACAGGCCUUCCUUUUUAAUAGUACUGCAACAAUGAAAUCUUAAAUUUAUACAAGAAUUUUCUAUUUUUAGCUUUAUACAGGGGUAGUUUGCUAAUAACCUUUAGUCUAAGAAUAUUCCUAAAAUAAUAUCCUAAUUAUUUGUAUACAAAUUUCCUAGGAUUUUGACAAUUUUUCUUGGAUUUAAGUUUAUGUGCUGAUAAUAUCUGUGAUAAGGCAAGCUUCUUAAUUCCAAACUAGGAUAGAGAUGCUUCUGGCGCCUUAAGACUUUUUACGAGAGAAAGGAUAACACCGUAUAGCAUUAUGGAUAAAUACCUAACCACUACAUCUUACUAUUUUAGGUAAGAGCUUAGAACACGGAUACAAUCAUAAUCUAUGCAGUGGGGCGGAUAAGAAAAACAGAACAAAAUUUAACAGGUUUAUUAAUUCU